rnacentral:rRNA from 1 species
GACGAACGCUGGCGGCGUGCUUAACACAUGCAAGUCGAACGGAAAGGCCCUGCUUUUGUGGGGUGCUCGAGUGGCGAACGGGUGAGUAACACGUGAGUAACCUGCCCUUGACUUUGGGAUAACUUCAGGAAACUGGGGCUCAUACCGGAUAGGAGCUCCUGCUGCAUGGGGUGGGAUGGAAAGUUUCGGCGGUUGGGGAUGGACUCGCGGCUUAUCCGCUUGUUGGGGGGGUAGUGGCUUACCAAGGCUUUGACGGGUAGCCGGCCUGAGAGGGUGACCGGCCACAUGGGGACUGAGAUACGGCCCAGACUGCUACGGGAGGCAGCAGGGGGGAAUAUGGCACAAUGGGCGGAAGCCUGAUGCAGCAACGCCGCGUGCGGGAUGACGGCCUUCGGGUGGUAAACCGCUUUCGCCUGUGACGAAGCGUGAGUGACGGUAAUGGGUAAAGAAGCACCGGCUAACUACGUG